rnacentral:lncRNA from 10 species
UGCAUACCUCAUGGCCAGGAUAUCUGCAAUAGCUGCAAACCACUAUGAGUUCUUUGGAAAGAGACACAAGAAGGUUCGAGGCCACACUAGGCCCAAAGCCAAUGCUGACGGAGACAAUGACAAGCACUCACUGCCUCUGAAGGAAACUCCACGUUAAGCCACGCCCCCACACCUGGGAUUCCAGGGCCUGCUCUUCUCUGCUGGACUCCCAGACUGCAACCCAGACUGCACUGUUAGAAACCAGAGAACUGCAUGAUCAUGAGGAUGAGUGGGUGCCUGUGGGUCUUCAAGACAUGGCAUCCACCUGCCGUGGACCAGUCCAGUCUGCAGGCGUGGACUCUGACAGCUGGCUCCACCCAGUAUUCAGGUCUCAACCUGCACCCUCACUGCCCAGAACCCAGCCCUUUUUUUCUGGGACCUGCCACACUGCCAGAUCUUGUCAUUCCCCUUCCCCAGAGAUGACUACACUGUCUUCCCAGUCCACUGGCUGGGGACCUGUGCUAUGUGGCUGCCUCUCCUGCAUCACAACCAUCUGCCUCCAUCUAGAGCAUCUGACCAGGAUGUACAGCCCACACACCGUUAAGCCUCACACUAAGCUCACUCAAAUUACGAUGUGCAUGGUAAAACCUACCCAAGGUACUUCUGAUUGUCAAGAAAUAAGAAAUAAAAUAAGACGGGCCACAGAAAAGUGGUUAUAAAUUGGUGGCUCCUAAACCGAAAUCGCCUUGAGGCACAGCCUCCUCUGUGGAGCCUUCUUCAAGCUCCCUGGGCUGCUGAGUCAGCCCCUCUCAGAGGGUUCAUGAUAGCACUUUGGAUUCUGUUUGUUUGCAUGUAGCUUUG